CAAGGAUACUGUACAAAAACGCAACAAUCAAUAAAAUCCAAAAUAUAAAAAAAAAGGCAAAAUAUAACAGAUUAGUGUUGAGUUUGGAUUUGAAGGAUGACAGAGAGACCAAGUUAAGGAAGUCAUGAGGGAGACAAUUCCAGAUUUUCGGAGCCAAGUGCUUGAAAGCUUCUGCUCUCUGUGGUAACAAACCGAGCCGGGGGACGGAGAGCAGAAGAAGAAGAUAACCGGAGAGAAUGAGAAGGAGUAUUGAUGUGGAGAAGGUUGGAGAGAUAAGGUAGAGCCAGGUGAUGGAUUGUCUUUAAGGUGGAAAGGAGGAAUAUGAAUUUGAUUCUGGAGGCUAAUGGAAGCCAAUGCAGCUGCUAGAGACUGGUGUUGAUAUGACUUAAGGACGAGGUUCUGGAGAUGAUGCAGGCAGCUGAGAUCUGGACCAGUUGGAGUUUAAUGAGAUUUUUUAGAGAGAGAGACCAGAGAGGAGUGCAUUACAGUAAUCAAGACAUGAAGUGACCAGACUGUUAACUAGAAUAGAAGCAGAAUGGACAUUGAGGGAGGGACAAAGAUCAUUAAUGUUACUUAAGUGGAAAUAGAAGGACUAAACAACGUUAUUGAUUUGAGAUUAAAACACUAAUGAACUGUUGAAGAUGACACCUAAAGUUUCAACCUGUGGGGAGGGGGAGACUAAAAAUGAGUCAAUGAAAAGAGUAAAACUUGAAUCUCUGGAGAGAGUGGAAUAAGAAGUAGUUCAGUUUCAUCACUAUGGAGCUUAAAAAGUUUAAGUUUAACCAGUUUUUGCCUUCAGACAGACAGGAGGAGAGAGAGAUGAGGGGAACAGAAGAGUCAGCUUUACUAGACAAAUAGAGAUGAGUGUCAUCCAGUGAAAAUUAAUAAUAAAUGUGUGGAAAAUCAGUGGCGGACUUUGCAUUGCACACCUUGGUUUUCAGUAGUGCUACGUCUGAACCACUCAACCACUUUACCAUUUCUAUGCCUCUAAAAAAACUGUACUAUCAAAUUAGAAACAAAUCUCAUUAUGCAACUACAGCCAGCACAAAAGAUUGAAAAUAAAAUGUUAUUUAUUUCAUUCUUUAAAAAUGGGAUUUGAAGACAAAAUCCAUGCUCAAACAGUUUGAUUACCUAGUCAUGUAGAUUAUCAGGCUUCAGUUCCCUCAAGAAGUCUUUUUCUAUUCCAUCAAGGUCAGUGCUGAGAGCCGAGUCUGUCCAGUUGUUUCUGCGUAGGUUUGAAUUUGCUUUGGAGCAGAACAUUUCCGGACAGACUCAGUUCAUAGCUGCUAACUCCAGGCCCUGGUGCUCCAGCUCCUGCCAGAGGGCCUCAGCUACACUUGCCAUGAGUGUUUCCUUCAUUUAAUGCUUUCCCCUCCAAGUGGGGCAAAAUAACUACUUAACUAAGUAACAUAACUAAGUAACUAAUGGACUUCAUGUCCAAAAAAAAAGAAAAAUAAAAUAAAAUAAAACAAGUGUUUCUGUUAUAAAAACCAAAGGUAUUUAUAGAAGUUAAAGUUUUUUUUUUUACUUCACAUCAACAAAUACAAAAACGAUCUGCAAAUGUGUGAAAUUUAAAAAAACCAAAAGUCUUUGCAGUAAAGUCCUUGACAUGUAGAAAGCUUGACAUCAGAAUGCUUCUUUCAAAAAGGACCAAAAGACCUUGAGACCGGAUCUCACACUGUUAGCUGUGAAUGCUGGGAGAUAAAACAGUCAUAGUCUAGAUCACACGAUCAUGUGAUGCUGCUAAAACCUCAUUUACACAAAACCACAUUUCUACUUUUUAAGAAACAUAAAUGUAAAAAUGUACUUAGAUUCAGAAUUCACUUCAAUCUCAUUUAUGUUUGUUGAAAAUGUAGAUUUAGAAGCUUGUUGUUCAAAGCUGUGAACAAAUAUGAGGAAGAAGAAAAAAAACCUGAAGUGACUUGAAGGAGGAAAUACUAACCACAGGAAACUGAUGUAUUUGUGUCCAGAGUGUGGGUUGUUGUUGACUUCAGCCUCUGACAGAAAACACUGAGAGAAGAAGAGACAGAGAAGAGCAGAGGAGAGAACAAUGUUUGACUUCACAUCACUUCACUUCCCUCUGUUUCUGACAUGGAUGCUCACAUUUACAGAACAAACAUUUUCACAGAAGACUGUCAGAGUUGGAGAUGAAGUCACUUUGAAAUGUGAAAAUGCAAAUUAUUUCAAUGAUGGAUGUUCCAGAAUCACCUGGCUGUACAGUAAUUCAGGACAAACAUUUUCCCUGUUUGAACUCGGGAAGAUUCACAAAGAUGUUGUAUCUAAAUCAGACAGACUGAGUCUUACAGAGAAAUGUUCUCUGGUGAUAAAGAAGAUCACAGAUGAAGAUGCUGGAAGUUACACCUGCAGACAGUUCAGCACAUCAGGACAACAGGAAACAGAUUUUCAGGUUGGACUGAACGUUAUAAAGAAAAAUGAUGUCAGAUUAACUAGAAAAACACUUAAACCAACAUCCAAACCAUCUUCUGCAUCAACAUCUGCAGCUGAAUCCACAACAACCACAGAAACCGUUCUGUCUACAUCCAAACCAUCAACUGCAACAGAUCAUCUCUCUAAAACAGACAUGAAGACUUCUCCCUGCGACAGGACUGGUGACCUGUCUAGGGUGUCCCCUGUCUUCACCCACAAGUAGCAGGGAUAGGCUCCAGCAGCACGUGACCCCGAAAGAAAAUUAUGUCAGAUCAACUAGAAAAACACUUAAACCAACAUCCAAACCAUCUUCUGCAUCAACAUCUGCAGCUGAAUCCACAACAACCACAGAAUCAGUUCUGUCUACAUCCAAACCAUCAACUGCAACAGAUCAUCUCUCUAACACAGCUCCAGACAUGACAGCAGUGAUCACUGCAGCUGUAAUUGUGGCAGCAUGCUUACUAGUUGUUGUCGUGUUGUUGGGAUGGAGGAGGAUUAAAGUAAGAAAAACACAAAUUGAGGAAAAUAUGCUGCAGACUCCUCCAGAAGAUGUUGGUUCCUACGCCUCCAUCAGAUUCUCCAGGAACACAAACAACAGGCGGCAGGUUGUGGACAAAGACGAUGAAGGAGAUGCAGUGACCUACAGCACUGUCAAAGUGUCCUCUUCUUCUGCUCAUGUCCACACUGAUCCCAUCAGCCUCCAUUAAACCAACAGAUGAGAGUCACAGCAAAUGUUCCUCCUGAGGCUUUGUUGUGUUAGAACAGUGUUUCCCUGACCCUGGUCCUCAGAGAACAGUAAUCUGCAUUUUUUCAAUCCAGCCCUGCUCAAACACACCUGCCUUUGAUGACUGUCAUCAUCAGGCUUCUGCAGAGCCUGAUGAUGAGCUGAAUCAGGUCUGGAUAAGCAGGGCAACAUGGGAAACACGCAGGACAGUGUUCCUGAGGACCAGGGUUGGGAAACACUUGGUUAGAAUCCUGCAUUUAGAUCUUGAAGGUCAUGUUUUCUUGGAAACUGCAGGACUUUCACUUCACAUCUGUUUAUUUUAACCUUCAUUGAAUACCUAUUACCUAAACACACACUUCAUGGUAAUAAAUUGCUACAAACCAAAUGUUGUAAAAGAUCCCUAAAAGGUCACUGUAGGCAGCUUUCAAAAGGGAACAACUUCACCGAAAAAUAACCCUGUAUGGAUCUAAAAACAUUGAUAAUAUACUUUUCUUUACAACGUUCCUUCUAUAUAUAUAUCGCAGUUCACCUUUCAAUGCUUUUUUUCUCUCUGUUGUGUAUUGUGUUCCAUGUUCCUAUCAGCUAUAAAUUAUGGUGAACAAAUCUCCAUUGGGCCGCGUCUGAUGUACAGAAUCCUUCAAACGGCCACAUUUACAUUAUUCUUGUAUCAUUGCAGGUUUGGUUUUCUGUCAAUAAUACUGGACUUAUUUUUUAUGAUGGUUUGAACUUUGAGAGUUUAAACAAGAGAGAAAAGUCUGAAGAUGUUCAUGACUGUGUGAGAAAAGUCUAUAAAUGUGUAGUGAGGAUUUUACUGCCUUAAAACUUUUAGUUAUUGUGAAAAAUAAAGUCGACUACUUCACAGA